UACGUAGGGUGCAAGCGUUGUCCGGAAUUAUUGGGCGUAAAGAGCGUGUAGGCGGCCCGAUUAGUCCGCUGUGAAAGUCCAGGGCUCAACCCUGGAAUGCCGGUGGAUACUGUCGGGCUAGAGUCCGGAAGGGGCGAGUGGAAUUCCUGGUGUAGCGGUGAAAUGCGCAGAUAUCAGGAGGAACACCAAUGGCGAAGGCAGCUCGCUGGGACGUGACUGACGCUGAGAAGCGAAAGCAUGGGGAGCGAACAGG
rnacentral:rRNA from 1 species